rnacentral:misc_RNA from 1 species
GGCUGAGGGACCUUCAAUGCAGAGUUCACUGGAAAAGUUCCAUUCUUCAUGCCCAUAUUGUUGUUAAUACUUGAAGCAAUGAGAUUAGGUAGGCCCAUAUUCGGUGCAAUACUGAAAGUAUUUAGCAGAGAUGGUUGCCAAUCAAAAAGAAGCUUAGGAGGACGUCCUGCUUCCCAAGCUUCUCCCAUCCAAUCAAAACAAUUUACCAGAAAGAGGGCGUUGUAAACUAGUGAUUGCAGUUUC